rnacentral:rRNA from 1 species
CUAACAAGGAUUCCCCUAGUAACGGCGAGUGAAGCGGGAAGAGCUCAAGCUUAAAAUCUCCGUGCAAGUUUUGCACGGCGAAUUGUAGUCUAUAGAGGCGUGGUCAGCGUGGGCGCUCGGGGCAAGUUCCUUGGAAGAGGACAGCAUGGAGGGUGAUACUCCCGUUCAUCCCUGAGUUGCUCGUGCGUACGACCCGUUUUCUUUGAGUCGCGUUGUUUGGGAAUGCAGCGCAAAGUAGGUGGUAAAUUCCAUCUAAAGCUAAAUAUUGGUGCGAGACCGAUAGCGAACAAGUACCGUGAGGGAAAGAUGAAAAGAACUUUGAAAAGAGAGUUAAAGAGUACCUGAAACUGCUGAAAGGGAACCGAAUCGUUUCCAGUGUCUAUAAUCCGUGGCAUAUUUCAUUGGCGAGUGUGUGCGUGCGUGUGCUGUGGCAGCGGUCUUUAUGGCUGCGCUCGGCGUGUGUGCUGUGUGUGCUUGCUGGUGCCCUGUGCUGCGGUGGGACGUCAAGGUCAGUUCGUAUGCUGCGGGAAAUGGCUGCCGAGGAGGUAGGGCUUACGCUCCGCGUUUGUCUGUUAUAUCUUGGUGGACGAGUCGUCGCGGUUGGGACUGAGGUGCCUACAACGUGCUUUUGAGUGGGUUUGUGUCUCCGCGUGCGCCGUGUGCGGAUAGCUUGCUAUGCGUGUGUGGUUGUGUGUGGAUUGAUGCGGGCCUUAACUUGUUGCCGUUCGGGACGUUGACGAAAUGGAGCGAUCCGACCCGUCUUGAAACACGGACCAAGGAGUCUAACAUGUGUGCAAGUGUUAGGGUGUGGAAACCCCAGCGCGAAAUGAAAGUGAAGGGCAGCGCAAGUUGUCUGAGGUAGGAAACGUUGUGGGCUUCGGUCUGCGGCGUGGCACUAUCGACCGAUCAUGAACCUUCGUGGUGAAAGAUUUGAGUUUGAGCACAUAUGUUGGUACCCGAAAGAUGGUGAACUAUGCCUGAGUAGGGUGAAGCCAGGGGAAACUCUGGUGGAAGCUCGUAGCGAUUCUGACGUGCAAAUCGAUCGUCAAACUUGGGUAUAGGGGCGAAAGACUAAUCGAACCAUCUAGUAGCUGGUUCCCUCCGAAAUUUCCCUCAGGAUAGCAGCAACUUAUUUACGAUAGUUUUAUGAGGUAAAGCGAAUGAUUAGAGGAUUCGGGGAAGAAACUUCCUCGACCUAUUCUCAAACUUUAAAUCUGUAAGACCUGCAGGUUUCUUAAUUGAACUUGUGGAUGUGAAUAUCAA